UACGUAGGGCGCAAGCGUUGUCCGGAAUUAUUGGGCGUAAAGAGCUCGUAGGCGGUUUGUCGCGUCUGCUGUGAAAACCUAAGGCUCAACCUUGGGCUUGCAGUGGGUACGGGCAGACUAGAGUGCGGUAGGGUGACUGGAAUUCCUGGUGUAGCGGUGGAAUGCGCAGAUAUCAGGAGGAACACCAAUGGCGGAAGGCAGA
rnacentral:rRNA from 1 species